CCACACUCCUGUGCACAUUCGCUUCCGGGUCACGCGGCGCCGGAACUGACCCGUCUCCAUUAAGGGCGCCGGGCUGCAACCUCGCCUAGAGCCGGCCUCGAGCGCGCGACAUUCAGACCGUUGCCCGGGCGCCGUGAAGAGCUCCUUAGCCAGCUGGGAAACAAAGGCUGCCUUCAGUGAACUAAGAUCCAAAUUGUAGGCCUGCAUCCUGCAACCUGAAAGACACAACUGUUACACUUCCAGGAGCCUCCCAAGUCAGCGAGAAGAGUUCCCAAAGGACCCAUUAACAACAGAUUUUUUAUGGAAAAGAAGCAUGGUUAAACUGGUGAAAAUAACUGUGCACAAGUCUUAACACUACAUUUGCAGAAGAGCUGGGCAGACCGCACCUGGCAGGUGAUCUGCACACCUGGCCAGCCAUCAGAGAAUGACUUGGUGAAACUGAAUCCAGCUCCGAGAGGCUGAAAGCAGCUCCAGUCGCGCUGGCUCUCGUGGUUACGGCUUCGGUGAAAAUGGAGCGGCCCGCGAUGGAGGAAGGGGUCAGGGCAUGGGACUGACAGCAAGGAUGAAUGCCCGUGGCAGCCUGCACUGCUGCACCAACACGCUCUGUCUCCUCUUGCUGAGGCGACCUGAAGGAGAUGCAGCCUUGUGAGGAGCAGCGAGCUGGGAAGAAUCGUUGGCCCAUGCUGACACAGGAUGUACACCAGAGACUUUGAAUCUAGCAGUUUGUAACAUCUCUGCUGAGAGCCUGCAUCGAGAACUGGAUCCAGUCACACAAUCUUCCUGAGAGGAAUUGGCUUCCCAGCUGGCCCUGGUUACAUGGCAGAUCUUGAUCCUCUGAGGACAUGGAAGUAUGUUUUAGUCCAGCAUCUGUAAAAAAUACCCCACUGGAUUCUGGAAAGAACAACAUUCAGCUCAAAUCCAUCCCCCUCCUCUUUUGUUUUCAGCUACUGUCUGUCCAGCCUAUGAAAUUAGCACAAAUACCCCCAAGAAAUAGAAUCCUGUGCACAGCUUGAAUCAAAUACAUUGCACCCAAUAAGGAGUUGCCCUCUGACUUCCAAAUGAUGUUUAAUCUCUGAAGCAGGUGUAGUUGCCUUGUACAAUCGGCACGUCAUUUUUAUGGGUUAAACAAAUGGCUGCAUUAUUUUCCUUCAGACCUCAUUGUUCUACAACAGCAGCUGGAACAUAAGGUCAAAGCUGAAAAAAAAAAAGACCUAAGAACUGUCUACUCCACUCUGUUGAUUCCAUAAGUGAGACAUGAGGCCUGAGAAAAUGCCCUCUGUGAAGUAGAAUCAAUACUGACCAAUGGGGAUUAUUGCCGAAUGGUUAUACACACCUUGGGCAGACAGACCUACAAGUGGAUUUCCAGCAGGUAGCCAGGCUAACUUCAUGUGUGUCCUGCGGGAGAGAUCAGACCUGGGACUGUCACCCCGCUUAGGCCAGUGGGAGUAAUGCCGAGUUUCUCUUUUCCAGGUUCAUGGGUUCCUAUGGCAUUUCCAGACAUGGGCAGCUUAGUGUCUCUGAUUUUGCACAGUAGCUUGUUAGCAUCAUAACCAAGUGGGAGUUUAAUUUAUGGAG